GAUGACGAACGCAGCGAAAUGCGAUAAGUAAUGUGAAUUGCAGAAUUCAGUGAAUCAUCGAAUCUUUGAACGCACAUUGCGCCCCUUGGUAUUCCGAGGGGCAUGCCUGUUCGAGCGUCAUUAUAACCCUCAAGCUCAGCUUGGUGUUGGGGCCUGCUGCACUGGCAGCCCUUAAAAUCAGUGGCGGCGCCAUCUGGCUCUAAGCGUAGUAAUUCUUCUCGCUAUGGAGUCCUGGUGGAUGCUUGCCAUCAACCCCCAAUUUUUCUAUGGUUGACCUCGGAUCAGGUAGGGAUACCCGCUGAACUUAAGCAUAUCAAUAAGCGGAGGA
rnacentral:misc_RNA from 1 species